rnacentral:rRNA from 1 species
GGUUCGAUCAUGGCUCAGAUUGAACGCUGGCGGGAUGCUACACAUGCAAGUCGAACGGCAGCACAGCUUCGGUCUGGUGGCAGUGGCGAACGGGUGAGUAAUGUAUCGGAACGUGCCUAGUAGCGGGGAUAACUACGCGAAAGAAGAAGAAAGCGUAGCUAAUGCCGCAUACGCCCUUCGACAGGACCUUCGGGCCUCGCACUAUUAGAACGUGAUAUCGGAUUAGCUGGUUGGUGGGAGUAACAGCUCUGCAAGGCUGACGAUCCGUAGCUGGUUUUGAGAGGACGACCAGCCACUGGGACGAGACACGGCCCAGACUCCUACGGGAGAGGCAGCAGUGGGGAAUUUUGGACAAUAUGGGGAAACCCUGAUCCAGCCAUCCCGCGUGUGCGAUGAAGGCCUUUCGGGUUGUAAACACUUUUGGCAGGAAAGAAACAGCACGGGAUAAUACCCCGUGCAACUGACAGUACCUGCAGAAUAAGCACCGGCUAACUGCAGUGCCGGCGGCGGUAAUACGUAGGAGUGCAAGCGUUAAUCGGAAUUACUGGGCGUAAAGCGUGCGCAGGCGGUUCGGAAAAGAAAGAUGUGAAAUCCCAGAGCUUAACUUUGGAACUGCAUUUUUAACUACCGAGCUAGAAGUGUGUCAGAGGAGGUGGAAUUCCGUGUGUAGCAGUGAAAUGCGUAGAUAGCUGCGGAGGAACACCGAUGGCGAAGCAUGGCCUCUGGGAUAACACUGACGCUCAUGCACGAAAGCGUGGGGAGCAAACGGGAUUCGAAUACCUGGUAGUCCACGCCUAAACGAUGUCAACUAGCUGUUGGGGCCUUCGGGCCUUGGUAGCGCAACUAACGCGUGAAGUUGACCGCCUGGGGAGUACGGUCACAAGAUUAAAACUCAAAGGAAUUGACGGGGACCCGCACAAGCAGUGGAUGAUGUGGAUUAAUUCGAUGCAACGCGAAAAACCUUACCUACCUUGACAUGUCUGGAAUCCGAAGAGAUUUGGGGAGUGCUCGCAAGAGAACCAGGUCUUGCAGGUGCUGCAUGGCUGUCGUCAGCUCGUGUCGUGAGAUGGGUUAAGUCCCGCAACGAGCGCAACCCUUGUCAUUAGUUGCUACGAAGGGCACUCUAAUGAGACUGCCGGUGACAAACCGGAGGAAAGGUGGGGAUGACGUCAGAGAUCCUCAUGGCCCUUAUGGGUAAGGGCUUCACGUCAUACAAUGGUCCGGGACAGAGGGUCGCCAACCGCGAGGGGAGCCAAUCCCAGAAGCGAUCGUAGUCCGGAUCGCAGUCUGCAACUCGACUGCGUGAAGUCGGAAUCAUAGUAAUCGCGGAUCAGCAUGUGCGGUGAAUACGUUCCCCGGAGUCUUGUACACACCGCCCGUCACACCAUGGGAGUGGGUUUUACAGAAAUGAUUAGCCUAACCGUAAGGAGGCGAUUACCACGGUAGGAUUCAUGACUGGGGUGAAGUCGUAACAAGGUAG